AGGAGAGGGCAGGGUAGCAGUUCCUGCGGAAAGGAUACAGAACUCGUCAGUGGGACCAGUAAUUCUUUCCCUGUGAAAGCAAUUAAGACAUGUAUGUGGGGAAGGUUGGCAGCUCCAACGUUUAGACGUUAAAGGGAAUUUCGACACGGCACAGCACCCAGAGACUGUACGAAAAGGACGGAAGUAGGGGCAACAGGAGCAGAAGAGUGUCCUGGACAUUUCAAGUCUAGGCAAGCAACAUGCACAGGGCUCCUGCAGCGGUAUGCAGUACGUAAUGGGCUGAUCUCGUCUCAGAUGCACAUAAGGACAGCAGAGCCAGCGAUGCCUGCCACCAUACCACUGGGGAUCAGAGCCAGGCGCUCCUGGAAACUCUCCUUCUCAGGCUGGGGGAAGUGGCCAGAUCCUGAAGCCCUGAAGGAAAAGAGGCGCUGGAUGUGGGCCAGAGGGAUGUCUCCAGGCCUCUCCUGAAGGUUCAGCCCCUGCAGCUGGUCAGCUAUUUCAAGCGAUCCUCGAAGCUUCUGGGCCUUGCUGCAGGCAACACAAGUGGGGUGGAUCAGCACAGCACAGAGAGCCCCCAUAUCUGCAGUUCAGGAGGCUGCAUGGCUCAGGCCAGGAGGCUGGCACGCAGAGGCCCAAGUCUUAAUCCUGGCUCCGGCCCCUUACCAGCCUGGUGAUCCUGGCC